rnacentral:rRNA from 1 species
CAGUCGCCACGGUAAUACGUAGGGUGCAAGCGUUAAUCGGAAUUACUGGGCGUAAAGCGUGCGCAGGCGGUCCGUUAAGACAGAUGUGAAAUCCCCGGGCUUAACCUGGGAACUGCAUUUGUGACUGGCGGGCUAGAGUAUGGCAGAGGGGGGUAGAAUUCCACGUGUAGCAGUGAAAUGCGUAGAGAUGUGGAGGAAUACCGAUGGCGAAGGCAGCCCCCUGGGCCAAUACUGACUCUCAUGCACGAAAGCGUGGGGAGCAAACAGGAUUAGAUACCCGUGUAGUCCCUGUCUCUUAUAC